AUGGACUGGAGCUGGAGAGCCCUCCUCCUGGUGGCCAUGGUGACAGGUGUCCACUCCCAGGUGCAGCUGGUGCAGUCUGGGGCUGAGGUGAGGAAGCCUGGGGCCUCCGUGAAGGUCUCCUGCAAGGCUUCUGGAUACACCUUCACCAGCUACUACAUGCACUGGGUGCGACAGGCCCCAGGACAGGGGCUUGAGUGGAAGGGGAGGAUUUACCCUGGCAAUGGAGACACAAAGUACGCACAGAAGUUCCAAGGCAGAGUCUCCAUGACCAGAAACACGUCCACGAGCACAGCCUACAUGGAGCUCAGCAGCCUGAGAGCCGAGGACAUGGCCGUGUAUUUCUGUGCAAGAGACACAAAGGGUGUGAUGAUGGUCCACCGAGUACUGAGCGAUGAGCCCAGGGGCCGAGGCUCCGAUAAGGAAUAA